UAUUAUUAAAAAACCAAGUCGCAAAACAGCCCAACAAAGACAAAGAAAUAGGCCCAAAUAUAUGACCCAACCCAGCAAAAAGACAGGAGAUGCUCCUGAAAAGAACAAAACAGAAACAGCUUCCAACUUUAAUUGCUUCUCUUUCCAAAGCUCCAAAACUGUUCAUCUGCUUCCUCCUUCGCUCCAGAUCCCUCAUCUCUCCGAUUUGCAUGACAGAAUACUCGCCCAUCAGACAGGCAAGUUACGCAAUCGGUCCCUCUCGACUUCCUCUUCCACUGUUCUCUUUGCCUCUUAUUCCAGUAUUGGAAACGCAAAUCUAUCGUACUUCUCUUCUAAACAGAAAAAAGUAAAAAUUACUGGUAAAGCAUUGGAGCUCGGUUAAGAACGGAAAAUUUGAACCUUGAGUUAGUGGUGUCCCAGAAAAUACCAAUUUCAUCCCCUUGUUUUAGUUCUCUCCUCUUCACAAACUGUGUUAUCCAAUUCUUGAUAAGCACGUUUGCCCCAUUUUUCCAUCUUUUGAACUUCAUCUCAUGUUCGGUGCGGGUAUCGCAAUCCCAAAUUAAUACGGGUAAACCUUCUUCAAUUUGGGCUAGCUGAUCGGCGUUCCAAUGCGAUAAAAUAUGAGACUCCACCAACUCCGAUGGUAAUAUCAGCCUUGACAUGUUUCCGAGAUCACUUGUGUAAAGCUUCUUUUUGAUGCACCAUGGAUCAUCAUGAUGCCUCACUUGAGUCGUUUAUGAUGAUUGUUACGUUCACCAACUUCAAACCCUGGGGGUUUAUUCAUUGAAAGAGACCAUUCUAACGAGCUAUCGGCAUUGGAUGUAAAAUUAUCACUCGUAGUUGCCAAAGUAAGGGCUUCAUUGAUAUUCAGUUUAUAAUGAUUGUUACGUUCACCGACUUCAACCCUUUGGGGUUUGUUCAUUGAAAGAGACAAUUCUAACGAGAUAUCAGCAUCGGUAGCGUCUAAUUUUCUUGUAUAUUGAUCAUUGCUUUCUUUGUAGCAAAUCGCUUGUUUUCUCUCAUCAGUUUUAGUGGACAUAUUAUCAACGGAAAUAGACAGCUCUAACGAAAUUUUGGAAGUGACGACCACGACGAAAGAGACAACUCCAAUGAAACAUUGCUCUCUUUACAAUCGGGGACAUCCAUGUAAUUCAAAAGAAUACCAGGCUUGUCAUCUUCGUUUGUUUUUGGUUCCGGUUACCGCUAAAAGCCUUGUUGAAUGGAAAUUUAUAAAAAAGAAAACAGCAAAAGGUUAUUUCUUGCAGGUGAAUCUCAACUCUAACUUUCUUGAAAAUAUAUCUGAGUUUAUAUAAAGAUCUCGAAAUAAAUUUGAAGUAA